rnacentral:rRNA from 1 species
CCAGCUCUCCGAGUGGUAGGGAUGAUUAUUGGGCUUAAAGCGUCCGUAGCCGGCUUAUCAAGUCUCCUGUUAAACUCAGCGACCUAAUCGUUGAAUCGCGGGAGAUACUACUAGGCUAGGAGGCGGGAGAGGUCGACGGUACUUCUGGGGUAGGGGUGAAAUCCUAUAAUCCCAGGAGGACCACCAGUGGCGAAGG